AUCGUUCAAGUUUCUGACCUAUCAAUUCAAGAAGGUAGUGUAUUGGACCACCUUGAUUGUAACGGGUACGGAGAAUUAGGGUUCGAUUCCGGAGAGGGAGCCUGAGAAACGGCUACCACUUCCAAGGAAGGCAGCAGGCGCGCAAAUUACCCAAUCUCAAUACGAGGAGGUAGUGAAUAAAAAUAACAAUCCAGAGCUUUGUAAAAAAAGUUUUGGAAUUGGAAUGAGAACAAUGUAAAUACCUUAACGAGGAACAAUUGGAGGGCAAGUCUGGUGCCAGCAGCCGCGGUAAUUCCAGCUCCAAUAGCGUAUGCUAAAAGUUGUUGCAGUUAAAAAGCUCGUAGUCGAAUUUUUAAUUAUUUAUUUUUGUUUAAUUUGGAAUUUCUUUUCUAAAAAGAAAUUUUCUUAUUAUGAUAAAUAAUAACAUUUUUGAUAAAUUCUGAUAA
rnacentral:rRNA from 1 species